rnacentral:tRNA from 1 species
AGCAUCGGUGGUUCAGUGGUAGAAUGCUCGCCUGCCACGCGGGCGGCCCGGGUUCGAUUCCCAAUGGUUCGAACCAUGCCU